GUCUCUGCCAAGACAAUCCUAGUCGG
rnacentral:piRNA from 1 species